rnacentral:misc_RNA from 1 species
AAUGAUUGCAACUGAUUAUAAAAUCAUACAUUCACAUAUUUCCAACAAAAAAUAGUAAGUAUUGACAAGAAAACAAAAUAUCUGUUGCUUAGUAUAUGGUUCAGAAUAACACAGCUUAAGUUCAUUGCAGCACUCACCUCAUUUUUGUAACAAAUUUGUUGCUUUCCUUUCUAACACUUUAAUUUAAGUGAUUGCUACAAGAAAAAUAGAAAACAGUCUUGUUGAACAUUCUAAUAACGCAUAAAAGGAUGGCAUUAUGUCUCAAAUAUCCUUAAACAUUGAGUUCCAUAGCUUACCAUCCAACAACAAUCAUUUUGCGAUAUAUAUAAUUUCUUUGCAAGCCCGAGAGUCAGGUCCAAUGUUGCGUGAACCAGUAUUUAUGUAAGGCACUCAGAAAGUUGCUUGUGGAGAGAGUGGCUUUGACGAAUCUAUCACCGGCCUACUCCUAGAUGACCUGCAUAAGACAGUUCAUAUUAUUCUAACAUCUACAAGCACACGGAAAAGUAAAUUCUGGGCAUUUAAAAUGAGAAUGCAAUUCACUUGCACCAUGUAAAAGGGAAAUGCCAACCCAGCAGCAGCAAAUUGCAUUGCGCAUAGGGUCAUCAAGAUAGGUGUAUAUCAACUUAAGGAGUGAUCUAUACAACCACAGACAACAAAAUAAUGCCCUGUUUGAAUUGAGUUUAGCAUAGUUUAUUAAUAUAUCAUAUCAUUUUAUAUUAUAUAGUAUGAUUUUUAUUAUUAUUAUAUUUGAAAAGAUGGUAUAAUAUAG